rnacentral:rRNA from 1 species
GUGGGGAAUAUUGGGCAAUGGGCGCAAGCCUGACCCAGCAACGCCGCGUGAAGGAAGAAGGCUUUCGGGUUGUAAACUUCUUUUAUGAGGGACGAAUAGAUGACGGUACCUCAUGAAUAAGCCACGGCUAACUACGUGCCAGCAGCCGCGGUAAUACGUAGGUGGCAAGCGUUAUCCGGAUUUACUGGGUGUAAAGGGCGUGUAGGCGGGACUGCAAGUCAGAUGUGAAAUUCCAGGGCUCAACCCUGGACCUGCAUUUGAAACUGUGGUUCUUGAGUGAUGGAGAGGCAGGCGGAAUUCCCUGUGUAGCGGUGAAAUGCGUAGAUAUAGGGAGGAACACCAGUGGCGAAGGCGGCCUGCUGGACAUUAACUGACGCUGAGGCGCGAAAGCGUGGGGAGCAAACAGGAUUAGAAACCCUUGUAGUCC